AGGGAAAGAGGGAGGGAGGAGGAAAAUAGGAAAGUAGAACGGAAGCACAGUAAGAGCUUGGUCUUACGGGUGGCGAGUGGCGGACGGGUGAGGAAUACAUCGGAACCUACUUUUUCGUGGGGGAUAACGUAGGGAAACUUACGCUAAUACCGCAUACGACCUACGGGUGAAAGCACGGGAUCUUCGGACCUUGCGCGAUUUAAUUCGCCGAUGUGGGAUUAGCUAGUUGGCGGGGUAAAGGCCCACCAAGGAGACUAUCCGUAGCUGGUCUGAGAGGAUGAUCAGCCACACUGGAACUGAGACACGGUCCAGACUCCUACGGGAGGCAGCAGUGGGGAAUAUUGGGCAAUGGGGGCGAGCCUGAUCCAGCAAUACCGCGUGGGUGAAGAAGGCCUUCGGGUUGUAAAGCCCUUUUGUUGGGAGAGAAAAGCAGCAGGUUAAUACGCAGAUGUUCUGACGGUACCGAAAGAAUAAGCACCGGCUAACUUCGUA
rnacentral:rRNA from 1 species